GUGCACGCCCGGCCGUCCUUCCUGUCGCACUUCAGGUGAACAAGCGUGGGCUUGUCGAGUGCAACCGCAGAGGCACCGGCGGCCACCACGUCACCCCUCCCUUCGCAGGGUCCUCUUCCUUUUCUCUGACUCUGCUUCGGAGAGUGCUUCCUUAGCUUCGGGAAGAGGCUGUAAUCUAACUCAUUGUCUGUUUGCUCUGAAAACCAGCGUGGACGUGCAGAGGCCGACUGGAUCACCUGUCAGUAACCGUGCUGCCGGUCCGAGAAGCCAGCCCGGCCUCUGAAGCGUACGACCUUGAGCUGCACAAGGACAAGCACAGACCAAGGGAUGCUCUCUGGAUGAAGAUGCUCCAAGAGAAAAUGAAUACGCAGCAGAGGCAGAGGAAGACCCCCAGCCUCGGCUCUCAGCGGGACCUGGAGAGCCAGCGGAGAGAGGACAAGAUUAUCUGUAAAUCAGAUAAGAAGGAUUCUGAAAGUAAAAGAUACCUUAGUUGCUUACAUCAGAUGUAUUCCACCUCGCUCGCCAACGUGGAGUUCUGCAGGAGGAGUAACCUUCCAGAACAAACGAGGAGUAAGCCUGCCUCUCCAGGGAUGACCACAGCACCCCUCACCCUGGAACAAGAGGCUAAGGCAGCAAGUCGAUACUGGACUAACUAUGUGGAUUGAGAAAGCGAAUGUAGUGUCUCACCUGCAUGAAAAGAAUGAAGAAAUGUUGAAACUCCCCCCAAAAUAAUUAAAUGGCAGAUUUCUUUUUCUUCAAAUUUAUGACAAGAAAAUAUGGUAUUAUCUAGUAAAUAAUAAUAUAAACCCAGAAAUAUGAAUAAAAAUCAGUAGAAAUAAGAAUCA
rnacentral:lncRNA from 1 species